GCCCUAGCCGCACUCCCAUAACCACCAUCAUCCUCAGCUCCAACCACCUAACCACCAUCCUCACACCCGUUUUUCUCCGAGCCAAGCUCCAAAUCUCAGGCACCCGUGAACCCAACCCCCGAACCAAGUGACCCCAGGUGCGAGCCCACCUCUGCGUGCCUUCGACCCAGUGGUCUCAUCGUUCUUGGAGAUCGCCGUUGGACAAACUGCCGAGACUGCCAGGCAGUUCUUGCAGGCCACAAGUUGGAAGCUUGAGGAGGCUAUUCAGCUUUUUUAUAUAGGCAGUGAAGGCGGCACUGUAGUGGGAGGAUCGUCUUCUCAAUUUCCGCCUACAGAAAAUAUUGAAGCUUUGGCCAAACAGACUGCUCGUGAAGCCGAAAGGAA